rnacentral:rRNA from 1 species
AUUGAACGCUGGCGGAAUGCUUUACACAUGCAAGUCGAACGAUGAAGUCUAGCUUGCUAGACGGAUUAGUGGCGAACGGGUGAGUAAUAUAUCGGAACGUAUCCAUUAAUGGGGGAUAACUAGUCGAAAGAUUGGCUAAUACCGCAUACGUCCUACGGGAGAAAGCUGGGGAUCGUAAGACCUGGCGUUAAUGGAGCGGCCGAUAUCUGAUUAGCUAGUUGGUGAGGUAAAGGCUCACCAAGGCGACGAUCAGUAGCUGGUCUGAGAGGACGACCAGCCACACUGGAACUGAGACACGGUCCAGACUCCUACGGGAGGCAGCAGUGGGGAAUUUUGGACAAUGGGCGAAAGCCUGAUCCAGCCAUUCCGCGUGAGUGAAGAAGGCCUUCGGGUUGUAAAGCUCUUUCGCAAGGGAAGAAAACUUAUCCUCUAACAUAGGGUGAGGUUGACGAUACCUUGAUAAGAAGCACCGGCUAACUACGUGCCAGCAGCCGCCGUAAAAC